rnacentral:pre_miRNA from 1 species
AGUGGAGUUGCUGGGUCACAUGGUUGUCUGGUUUAACUUUUUGAGGAACUGCCAAACUGUUUUCCAGAGCAGUUGCACCAUUUUACAUUCCCACCAGCAAU